rnacentral:rRNA from 1 species
GGAAUCUUCCACAAUGGACGCAAGCCUGAUGGAGCAACGCCGCGUGAGUGAAGAAGGUCUUCGGAUCGUAAAACUCUGUUGUAAGAGAAGAACGUGUGUGAGAGUGGAAAGUUCACACAGUGACGGUAACUUACCAGAAAGGGACGGCUAACUACGUGCCAA